rnacentral:rRNA from 1 species
UAAAGGUGGCUUUUGGGCUGUCGCAGAUGGAUGAGCCUGCGUUGGAUUAGCUAGUUGGUGGGGUAAGGGCCUACCAAGGCUACGAUCCAUAGCUGAUUUGAGAGGAUGAUCAGCCACAUUGGGACUGAGACACGGCCCAAACUCCUACGGGAGGCAGCAGUGAGGAAUAUUGGACAAUGGGGGCAACCCUGAUCCAGCAAUGCCAUGUGUGUGAAGAAGGCCUUAGGGUUGUAAAGCACUUUAGUUGGGGAAGAAAGCUUUGAGGUUAAUAGCCUUGAGGAAAAGGACGUUACCCAAAGAAUAAGCACCGGCUAACUCCGUGCCAGCAGCCGCGGUAAUACGGGGGGUGCAAGCGUUAAUCGGAAUUACUGGGCGUAAAGGGUCUGUAGGUGGUUUGUUAAGUCAGAUGUGAAAGCCUAGGGCUCAACCUUGGAACUGCAUUUGAUACUGGUAAACUAGAGUACGGUAGAGGAAUGGGGAAUUUCUGGUGUAGCGGUGAAAUGCGUAGAGAUCAGAAGGAACACCAAUGGCGAAGGCAACAUUCUGGACCGAUACUGACACUGAGGGACGAAAGCGUGGGGAUCAAACAGGAUUAGAUACCCUGGUAGUCCACGCUGUAAACGAUGAGUACUAGCUGUUGGAGUCGGUGUAAAGGCUCUAGUGGCGCAGCUAACGCGAUAAGUACUCCGCCUGGGGACUACGGCCGCAAGGCUAAAACUCAAAGGAAUUGACGGGGACCCGCACAAGCGGUGGAGCAUGUAGUUUAAUUCGAUGCAACGCGAAGAACCUUACCUGGUCUUGACAUCCUGCGAUCUUUCUAGAGAUAGAUUGGUGCCUUCGGGAACGCAGUGACAGGUGCUGCACGGCUGUCGUCAGCUCGUGUUGUGAAAUGUUGGGUUAAGUCCCGCAACGAGCGC